rnacentral:lncRNA from 1 species
GUCAGAAGCACUUGGGUACAAAUAGUGACUGAUCCUUCCAAAAUGUCCUUCCCUUUACUAUAGGCAAAUGCCGAGGGACCCCUGGUAUUGUAGCAAGUUUGUGUUCUGCUGUUCGAGCCUGAGCUGAGGGUACUGGCUUUCAAAAUUCUGAAUAGCAUGUUGCUUUGGCUUUUUCAGAGAAGAAGGUCUGUGGGAAUCAUGCUCCUACCAGACUUCCGGUUCUGUUUAAUAUAACAGCGUUAACAUAGGAUGGAAAUGGAUCAUGUUCCAUCCAAGAUUGUGCUAGAAUGGUACAGAGACUUUAAAAUGGCAUAUCUUAGCUGACGGGUGUGUGUGUGUGAGAGAGAAUGCUGUAUCAGAAGAUAGGAAGAAGUCUUGUUUCAUCAAAUCUUGAAGGAGCAGGGAUGUAGCUCAGUGCUGUUGGAAGACUUUAAUGCCAUGUUAUGUAAACUACUAUACAGUGCAGUAUAGAAGAAUCAGCUAUGUAUUUUGAGGUAAGUGGGAUUCAUUUGAAGUCUGCAGUCACUUCAGAUAUUCCUCUUCAAGACCUUACUUCAUCCAGAUGUUAUCAGAUUAAAUCAGAGCUAAUGUCUCAUCAAAAUCAAUUCUUUUACCACCACCACCCCGAAGGAUUUGGCCAUGUAACACAAUACAACAUUUUGGAAUUUACCAAACGGGGAACAAGGAUUGCACUGCACAAGACCAUUUUGAAUCAUACAGGUGGUUCUGAACUUAAUCCAUUUGCAUCCUUUGAGCUAAAAUCUAAGAAAUCUCACCUUAUGUCCAGGAUGGGCAUAAUUUUACUUUCCUAGUGAUGAGAAAGCCCCUUUUGCAUUCUGAUGGGUUUUUACUCUUUUUAUGUUGCCUAAAUUUUAUUGCUGUGUUAUGUGUUUAUAUUGCUUCAGCUGAAUUGUUUUUCAGUGGAAUUUUAUUUAAACCACCCUCAAAGAUUUAAAAGUCUAGUAGAUAGAUAGAUAGAUAGAUAGAUAGAUAGAUAGAUAGAUAGAUAGAUAGAUAGAUAGAUAGAUAGAUAGAUAGAUAGAUAGAUAGAUAGAUAGAUAGAUAGAUAGAUAGAUAGAUAGAUAAUGAAUAAGUACAUAUAUAUCUUAAGCAACUGUAAAAAAUUAAGAGAUUGAACUAAGGGCUUUUGAAUGCCACAUAUCCACAGACGCCUGUUAAUGGAAUUGGAAAAUUAUGUGUCUAUAGGAAUCUUGAUAGGGGUGGUGAAUCACCAAGACACCAGAGAAAGCUAUGACUACAAUUACGAAAACAGGCUACGUCAAUUCUACUUUGUGAGAUGCAAGACCAACCUUAGAGUUAGGAAGAAUGAGCCAGGAGCCUGAGGCGACGGAUGUUGGCUGUCAUGAAAAGGCACAAAUUCUUAGUUGUUUAACUGAUUAUAUAUUUUUGUAUGUUUGUGUGAGAGAAAAAUAAAAUAAACCGAACAACUAAGAAUUUGCUCCCU